UACGGAGGGUGCGAGCGUUAAUCGGAAUUACUGGGCGUAAAGCGGGCGUAGGCGGCUUGUUAAGUCGGAUGUGAAAGCCCCGGGCUUAACCUGGGAAUUGCAUUCGAUACUGGCUGGCUAGAGUGUGGUAGAGGGUAGCGGAAUUCCCGGUGUAGCGGUGAAAUGCGUAGAUAUCGGGAAGAACACCAGUGGCGAAGGCGGCUACCUGGACCAACACUGACGCUGAGGUCCGAAAGCGUGGGGAGCAAACAGG
rnacentral:misc_RNA from 1 species